GCCAGCCUACGCCAGAGCCACAGCAAUGUGUAAUCCAAGCCACGUCUGUGACCCACACCACAGCUCAUGGCAACGCCGGAUCAUUAACCCACUGAGCCAGGGCAGGGAUCGAACCCGCGACCUCAUGGUUCCUAGUCAGAUUCGUUAACCACUGUGCCACGACGGGAACUCCAGAAAUGGAGCAACUAUUUAGCUGAUUUUUCUCUUGGCUUCUCUACAGGAGUGAAGUUUUCAUUGAGGACAACAUCCCGAAUGAAACACAGAAGCAAGCUAUUGCUACAGUGGCUCGAGGUCAUGACAUCCCAGAGUAAGGACAAGAGACAGAAAGGCUACCCUGCGGCGAAGCGUAAGCCUCUGGGAAAAGAGAACAGCUGUGAGAGAGAAGGAAACUGUACCCAGUAGACGCAUAUGGAGAAGGUGCCUAGAGGGGAACCUGCAGUACAUCCCAGCGCCAAUGAUUUAUAAAAACUCAAGGGGUAUUAAAGACCUUACUGAAAACCGGAAAACACAAUCGAGUCACAGAAUCACAUGCGGAGAAUUUUGCUGCAGCCUUAGGAGCAGUGAGAGGCC
rnacentral:lncRNA from 1 species